CCCUAGUGGCCCAAAUGGUAAAGGAUCUGCCUACAAUGCAGGAGACUCAGUUUCAAUUGCUGGAUUGGGAA
rnacentral:tRNA from 1 species